UACGGGGGGGGCAAGCGUUGUUCGGAAUUACUGGGCGUAAAGGGCGCGUAGGCGGCCACCGCAAGUCGGUUGUGAAAUCUCUGGGCUUACCCAGAAAGGUCAACCGAUACUGCGGGGCUAGAGUGCAGAAGGGGCAACUGGAAUUCUCGGUGUAGCGGUGAAAUGCGUAGAUAUCGAGAGGAACACCUGCGGCGAAGGCGGGUUGCUGGGCUGGCACUGACGCUGAGGAGCGAAAGCGUGGGGAGCGAACAGG
rnacentral:rRNA from 1 species